rnacentral:rRNA from 1 species
CCUACGGGAGGCUGCAGUGGGGGAUAUUGCACAAUGGGGGGAACCCUGAUGCAGCGACGCCGCGUGGGUGAAGAAGCGCCUCGGCGCGUAAAGCCCUGUCAGCAGGGAAGAAAAUGACGGUACCUGUAGAAGAAGCCCCGGCUAACUCCGGGCCAGCAGCCGCGGUAACACGUAGGGGGCAAGCGUUAUCCGGAUUUACUGGGUGUAAAGGGGGCGCAUACGGAGAUGCAAGCCAGGAGUGAAAGCCCGGGGCCCAACCCCGGGACUGCUCUUGGAACUGCGUGGCUGGAGUGCAGGAGGGGCAGGCGGAAUGCCUGGUGUAGCGGUGAAAUGCGUAGAUAUCAGGAGGAACACCGGUGGCGAAGGCGGCCUGCUGGACUGCAACUGACGUUGAGGCCCGAAAGCGUGGGGAGCAAACAGGAUUAGAUACCCUGGUAGUC